GCCCAGAUUUGUUGACAUAUUCUCACAGCACCCAAACCUGUUAAUUUAAGCCCACAGGACUGCUGAACAUCAAGGUGCCAUGCCGAUGCAUCCAUCAUGUUCUCAGAAGAUACAGUUGUUACAAUUACACGUUAAGUGAACCAAAGGAAUUUUCCACGCAUCGCCUCCGUUCAACUUUGAGAUCCUUACCGUCCACUGCACAGGAUGCAUCGUGUCCUUGGACGUAGCAUGCGUGUUUAUCUCAUUUCCCAAUGUUUUUCCACGCAGUUUGAGGAUACAGGGCAGGAAACAUCGAAGGACACUAUAGAACGCCCCACCCAACACAAACAAAGGAGUAACAGUUACUGAAAUUUUCUCCAGAUGACCUUUCCCUCAAUUUGGCUGAGACGAUACAGAGGAACCCCAAAAUAGCUGGCACCAUUGUUACAUUCUGUCUGCAUUUCCAAUUAAACGUGUGUUACAGCA